rnacentral:rRNA from 1 species
AGAUAGAGUUUGAUCCUGGCUCGGAUGAACGCUGGCGGCGUGCUUAACACAUGCAAGUCGAACGCUGAAGCCCCAGCUUGCUGGGGUGGACGAGUGGCGAACGGGUGAGUAACACGUGAGUAACCUUCCCUUGACUCUGGGAUAAGCCUGGGAAACCGGGUCUAAUACCGGAUACGACCUGCCACCGCAUGGUGGGGGGUGGAAAGAUUUAUCGGUCUUGGAUGGACUCGCGGCCUAUCAGCUGGUUGGUGGGGUAAUGGCCCACCAAGGCGACGACGGGUAGCCGGCCUGAGAGGGUGACCGGCCACACUGGGACUGAGACACGGCCCAGACUCCUACGGGAGGCAGCAGUGGGGAAUAUUGCACAAUGGGCGCAAGCCUGAUGCAGCGACGCCGCGUGAGGGAUGACGGCCUUCGGGUUGUAAACCUCUUUCAGUAGGGAAGAAGCGCAAGUGACGGUACCUGCAGAAGAAGCGCCGGCUAACUACGUGCCAGCAGCCGCGGUAAUACGUAGGGCGCGAGCGUUAUCCGGAAUUAUUGGGCGUAAAGAGCUCGUAGGCGGUUUGUCGCGUCUGCCGUGAAAGUCCGGGGCUUAACCCCGGAUCUGCGGUGGGUACGGGCAGACUGGAGUGCAGUAGGGGAGACUGGAAUUCCUGGUGUAGCGGUGAAAUGCGCAGAUAUCAGGAGGAACACCGAUGGCGAAGGCAGGUCUCUGGGCUGUUACUGACGCUGAGGAGCGAAAGCAUGGGGAGCGAACAGGAUUAGAUACCCUGGUAGUCCAUGCCGUAAACGUUGGGCACUAGGUGUGGGGGCCAUUCCACGGUUUCCGCGCCGCAGCUAACGCAUUAAGUGCCCCGCCUGGGGAGUACGGCCGCAAGGCUAAAACUCAAAGGAAUUGACGGGGGCCCGCACAAGCGGCGGAGCAUGCGGAUUAAUUCGAUGCAACGCGAAGAACCUUACCAAGGCUUGACAUGUUCCCGACCGCCACAGAGAUGUGGUUUCCCCUUUUGGGGCGGGUUCACAGGUGGUGCAUGGUUUGUCGUCAGCUCCGUGUCGUGAAAAUGUUGGGUUUAAGUCCCCGCAACCAAGCGCAACC